GACGAACGCUGGCGGCGUGCUUAACACAUGCAAGUCGAACGGAAAGGCCCUGCUUUUGUGGGGUGCUCGAGUGGCGAACGGGUGAGUAACACGUGAGUAACCUGCCCUUGACUUUGGGAUAACUUCAGGAAACUGGGGCUAAUACCGGAUAGGAGCUCCUGCUGCAUGGUGGGGGUGGGAAAGUUUCGGCGGUUGGGGAUGGACGCGCGGCUUAUCAGCUUGUUGGUGGGGUAGUGGCUUACCAAGGCUUUGACGGGUAGCCGGCCUGAGAGGGUGACCGGCCACAUUGGGACUGAGAUACGGCCCAGACUCCUACGGGCGGCCGCAGUGGGGACUCUUGCCCCAUGGGCGGCAGCCUGAUGCAGCAACGCCGCGUGCGGGAUGACGGCCUUCGGGUUGUAAACCGCUUUCGCCUGUGCCGCCGCGUGCGUGCCGGUCCUGGGUCAAGAGGCCCCGGCUCCCUACGUG
rnacentral:rRNA from 1 species